GACUCACAGGAUUUCAAUAGAUGAUAUUCGUGAGUGGAUGAAGGACGAAUCGACUUUUUUUGGUCGUGAAGUUGAGACUGAAGAAGAAGAUUGGAAAUGCAAGUACGUUAUAUACCUGGACUUGUACGCUGAUCUUUACCAUUGAUGGAAUGGUUGCACUGAUCCAAGUGAACUGACUGUUCGAUUUAAUCAGAUGAAAAAAAUUGACGAGCAGUUGAAGAUCAUGGAAAGGGAAAACUCAAUUUCUGCCCGCUGGCAAAAUACUGACUCAGAGUACGAAAAUGCAAAACGCGAGGUUGC